rnacentral:rRNA from 1 species
UGUGCCAGCAGCCGCGGUAAUACGUAGGGUGCAAGCGUUAAUCGGAAUUACUGGGCGUAAAGCGUGCGCAGGCGGUUGUGCAAGACAGAUGUGAAAUCCCCGGGCUCAACCUGGGAACUGCAUUUGUGACUGCACGGCUAGAGUGCGGCAGAGGGAGAUGGAAUUCCGCGUGUAGCAGUGAAAUGCGUAGAUAUGCGGAGGAACACCGAUGGCGAAGGCAAUCUCCUGGGCCUGCACUGACGCUCAUGCACGAAAGCGUGGGGAGCAAACAGGAUUAGAUACCCUGGUAGUCCACGCCCUAAACGAUGUCAACUAGUUGUUGGGGAUUCAUUUCCUUAGUAACGUAGCUAACGCGUGAAGUUGACCGCCUGGGGAGUACGGUCGCAAGAUUAAAACUCAAAGAAAUUGACGGG